rnacentral:rRNA from 1 species
UACAGAGGUCUCAAGCGUUGUUCGGAUUCAUUGGGCGUAAAGGGUGCGUAGGCGGCGCGGUAAGUCGGGUGUGAAAUCUUGGAGCUUAACUCCGAAACUGCAUUCGAUACUGCCGUGCUUGAGGACUGGAGAGGAGACUGGAAUUUACGGUGUAGCGGUGAAAUGUGUAGAGAUCGGGAGGAACACCGGUGGCGAAGGCGGCCUUCUGGACAGUGACUGACGCUGAGACGCGAAAGCGUGGGGAACAAACAGG